UCCCCUUUUUAAAUGAUCCAGGAUACUUUCCUUCCAAACCGACCCAGCAAUACUUUUGCGACGUCUCUUGGAGACAGACCGACCAUCUACUGACCGAUUAUAUUGCGACAUUUCUGCAUUACCCUAGCCCUGAUGAAGAGGUGGUAUUCCCUAUGAGCCUCGAAACGUUGGCACCACUGUCUGCACCUACGAAGGAAGGGUUUUUUACUGCACUUUUUUGUCGCUUCUCAAAAUAACAUACAAUUUGGAGUCUAUGUCUUAUCUUGAGUAAUGUACAGUACCGUUUAUGGUCACUUACCCUAGGUCGUGCCUUCCUUUUAUGUUUGGUCAGUUGGAUAUUUUGCUGUUCAUGUUGUUGAUACAUUAUUUGAUACGUUGUCUAUGAACAACACUACCGAAAUAAAAUUUGAUAUUUUUGAUAUAC